rnacentral:lncRNA from 1 species
UCCUCAUAGUAGUGUCUAAACCUGAGACCUCCUCGCUCAUUCUUAGCUCCUCAUCUGUUGUGAUCGUCACCAAGUCUCCUUCUUGGUCUUUAUACUUUAUAUGAACCGCUAUUAAGCUAGGGAAACGCUCGUGAACCACUUCCCUGAGGUGGAAGAGAGUGCAGUUCAAAGGGAGCUCAGCCAAUCUAACAACUUUAUAUGAACCGCUCUUAAGCUAGGGAAACGCUCGUGAACCACUUCCCUGAGGUGGAAGAGAGUGCAGUUCAAAGGGAGCUCAGCCAAUCUAACGUCCUCAGAGUACACAAACUUGACAGUCUUCUUUAAUACACUGUUAUCCUCGACGAUAACUUCCUCAUGUUUAUCUUCAAUGAUCUUCUCUUUGCCCUUUACAUCUG